UCUGCGCUGAAAUUUCGUUUCGCUCCAUUCUGUAUUGUACGAGUACGAGAGUAUUAUAGCCGGCAGCGACAUCCGCUUCGGAAAACCUUGUGAUUUGUUUAAAACGAUAGCGCCUUUCACAUUCUGCACACGUUUCAGUUACCUCGUACCCGCCUAACAUCAUUAUCAAUUUGUAUAAUGUUUAUACGGUUGAAACCCGCGAAAACUCCAAAACUACCUACGGUCGUGGCGUGAUGUUCUUGCCGCGGUGCGUUGGUCUUCGACAAAUAAUUC